rnacentral:misc_RNA from 1 species
UUGAUAUUUUUCGAAAUAAGGAGGUUCAAUGAACGAAGAUAAACAACGAAGUGAUGCUGUAAAUGGAGAUCCGUCCUUAACUAUUACUCCCAUCCCCAUUUCUAAGAUAAAAAUAGUAGUAGGCUCAAGUAGCUCUGCCAAAACUUGUGACAAUCAAAAAACUGAGGAAAAAUUCUGUAAAAUAUUACCACCACUCCAAGGGCGUUAUGUAACGAAUGAUUUUCAAAGACGACCAAGAUCCAGAAGCCCUAGGGUUUAUCAAAGUGAAAAUGGACCUAACAUGCAUAAAAAAGGAGCUCAUAACAGAUUCCAUCACAAUUGUUGUGAAAGAAAACCACAGCUACUGGAUGACAUACGUACAAAAAGUCAAUUGAAUGCUUUAAAAAGACGAAAAUCUCACUUUCCAUCAUUUCGAUCCACAGGUGACUUAACAGGUUACAAUGGGGCACACGAUAAGAGGCAUCCAUUAAAUACGGAAACAGAAAUUGUCACAAAUUUUCUAAAUACGAAGCCUAGUUUUUUAAUUGACUAUGCAUUAAAGCACCUGGAUCUUCCAAUGCUUGAAAAGAUCUGCAGUCUCAAAAAGAAUCAGCUCAUGAUUAAUAGUUUAGGCAAAUAUAAGAUCAUUGUCUAUCAUUUAUAUUAAAUAUUGAAUCUUUUUUAUACAUACAUAUAAUAUCAGAAGAGCCAUCUUCUCAACUUUUGGAAGGUAAUUUGAUACUAGACAAGAGAAUCAUGUUGAAAAGCCUUACUUCGUCCAUUGCCAAACAUAAAGAAAAUAAUGGACUGAUAAUGGAGCUUAAAUUUUGUAUUCUAAGAGAGAUUGGAAGAAAUAUUUGUAAGGCAAUUAAUGCUCGUAGAUUUAAGAUGUACCUUGCUCAUCCAGAUAAGAAAGAUGAAUUGUUGGAAUUCGAUCCUAUGUCCAGUACAGAUGAACAAUCGGUUAAAUGUCACAAUAUUUUUAAUGGAGUUUUUGAUGCAUUCUUCGAUGAAUAUUUGGAUAACACCACAUCCAAAAUGUUCAAUGGAAAUUCGGACAUUUCAUAUGGAAAGAUUAGAGGAACCAAGGAGGAUGACUCUGUUUUAAUUCACUCUAUUCUGUGCUCUGAUUAUAAAAACAUUGAAGGAUUUCUGGAAUUUAAAAAACCUAAAAUUGAUGGAUCUUUUUCAGAUAUGGAUGAGGCAUUAGUAGACUCCUACUUAGUUUGGGGAGAAUUAUCCAUUCAUUACUCUGAUAUGUGUUUUAAUCUUGAGAGACAAAAUGACCUAAGUCAUUUUUUACUGAGUAUUGUAAAGUCCUUGUUCAAUGAGGUGCAAAGCAUGGAUACAAUUAUAACAAAAAUAAUGCAUUUUGCACACAAAUUAGUAAAUGCAGAUCGAGCAUCCAUGUUUUUGGUAGAUAAUAAGACGAAUCAGUUAUAUGCUCGAAUUUUUGAUAUUACAAAUUCAUCAAAUGAAAUGAAACCGGGAUCAGAUAAUGAGAAUAACAAUAAUCUCAUGAAGGAAAUUAGAUUUCCCAUUGGAACUGGCAUUGCUGGUUAUGUUGCCAAAACAGGAAAAGUAUUAAAUGUGUCAAAUGUAGAUGAGGAUCCCAGAUUCAAUCGAAAUGUUGAUGAGCAAACUGGAUAUACCACCAAAUCUAUUUUAUGUAUGCCAAUUUCCAUAUACGGAAGUAUAAUCGGUAUUGUUCAAAUAAUUAACAAAAAAGAUGGAUUUUUUACCAAAGAUGACGAAAAAUCCUUUGAUAUUUUUUCCACUUACUGUGGCCUAGCUCUACACCAUGCAAAGCUUUAUGAGAAGAUCCGCCGUUCUGAACAUAAAUGUAAGGUAACUAUGGAAGUCUUGUCUUAUCAUAAUUCUGCAACCUCAAAAGAAGUGGCACCCUACAUUCAGGCAGGCCCACCAAUUGAUGAUAUUUCCGUUCAAAGGUUUUCAUUUUAUGCUUUAGAUAAAAGGGAUGAAUAUAAGAUUGAAAAAGCAUUGUUUAUGUUUGUUGAUCUCUUUGGAUUGGAUCGUUUUGACUAUAAUACUCUUGUAUUCUUUUUUGUUACGAUUAAGAAAAAUUACAGAGACGUGCCAUAUCAUAAUUGGAGUCAUGGAUUUCAUGUCGCUAAUAGUGUUUAUAGUAUCAUCAAAUCUGAUCCUGGACUUUUUAGGCCAUUAGAAUGUCUUUCUAUGUUUGUUGGUGGACUGUGUCAUGAUUUGGACCAUAGAGGCUAUAACAAUAAAUUUAUGAUUGACAUUGGAUCCCCUUUAGCUUCAAUUUACACUACUUCAACAAUGGAGUAUCAUCAUUUCAAUAUGACAAUCAACAUUUUGCAAAACGACAAACAAAAUAUUUUGAAAAAGUUUAAUCAAGAAGAAUAUAGACAGAUAAUGGGGAAUAUGAAACAUUGCAUUUUAGCAACAGACUUGGCCUUAUUCUUUCCGAACAAGGCAAGACUGACGUCGAUUAUAAAAUAUGAAACUUUUUCAUGGCAAAUACCGGAUCACAGUUCAAUCUAUAUUGAUAGCUGGAUGUGAUCUCUGCAAUAGUUAUAAGCCUUGGGACUUACAGCUAUCAACUGUUUAUACAGUCUACGAGGAAUUCUUCAAACAGGGAGAUGUUGAAAAAACAAUGGGUUGGACUCCCAUUCCUUUAUUUGAUAGGAGUCAUGCCUCAG